GCGAGGUGGCUCACACGCCUGUAAAAGAGGAGGAGGAGGAGGAAACAGCCAGGCGUGGUGCCUCAUGGCUGUAAAAGAGGAGGAGGAGGAGGAAACAGCCAGGCGGGUGGCCCAGGCCUGUAAAAGAGGAGGAGGAGGAGGAAACAGCCAGGCGAGGUGGCUCACACGCCUGUAAAAGAGGAGGAGGAGGAGGAAACAGCCAGGCGUGGUGGCUCAUGGCUGUAAAAGAGGAGGAGGAGGAGGAAACACCCAUGGGCAAUGGCUCACACCUGUUGAGGAGGAAGAAACAGCCAGGCGAGGUGACUCACAUGCCUGUAAAAGAGGAGGAGGAGGAAACAGCCAGGCGAGGUGGCUCACACCUGUAAAGGAGGAAGAGGAGGAGAAAGAACUAGCCAGGCAGUGGCUCCCGCAUUGAAAUGCCGAGGAGGAAGAAAAGAAAGAACCAGUCAAGAUGGUUCAAUUAAAUGCACAUUUGUCUCAGAUGAGCAGAGGAAUGACUUAGAGUUCAGUAAAGUUUUCGGGGCUCACAAGGAAUUUCCUAGCAGGCAAAUUUGAUAGGAGGUAUGUAGUGUUUUGUUUUGGUUUUUUCUGUUUUUGAGACAGCCUAACUCUGUGGACCAGGCUGGAGUGCAGUGGCAUGAUCUCAGCGCACUGCAACCUCCUCCUCCCAGCUUCAGGCGAUUCUCCUGCCUCAGCCUCCUGAGUAACUAGGAUUACAGGCAUGCACCACCAUGCCCAAUUAAUUUUUUACAUUUUCAGUAGAGACAGGUGUAUCACCAGGUUGGCUAACCUGGUCUCCAACUCCUGACUUCAGGUUAUCCGCCCACCUCAGCCUCCCAAAGUGGGAUGAGCCACUGCAUUUGGCCCCUCUCCCUGUAUCUUCAUAUGCCUGCAACCCCAAGAGAGGGCUCCUGGCUCCUUGGUUAGGGUCCGGGCCCCAGAGGCCCAGGGUCAAGGCUAUGGCACCAUCCCAAGAACAUUCUUCUCUUCAAGUGGCUGCAUCUGACAGGCAUGGAUGCUACAGGCUGGGGCCUGCUCGAAUUCCUGCUGUGGAAGGGAAGAAGUGGUUUCCCUAUGUUACCCAGGCUGGUCUUGAACUCCUGGGCUCAAGCGAUCCUUCCACCUCAGCCUCCCCAAGUGUUGGGAUUACAGGUGUGACCACUGUGCCUGGCCAAAAAAAUCUUUUUUUCAAUGAAAAAAAAGCACUGGACACGGCGGCUAACGCCUGUAAUCCCAGCACUUUGGGAGGCCGAGUGGAGUGGAUUACCUGAGGGAGUAGGUGCGACUUCUACAAUUGGUUUGGUGGAAAUCAAAUCCAAGUACAACUACAGCCGAUGGCAAGGGGACCAGACCUUCUGCGAUGGUGAGUGAUAGCAUCCCCAAAAGUUAAAAAUGCCAGUUGCAUGACAGUGCUCCCGUGACUGGUUAAUAGGGUGAUAGUCACUAGUCCAUCGAGGUGUCUUAUUUAAGGGGAACAUGUGGACGAUCUUAGUUUUAUGACCCUGAGGUAAGAACCAGAUGCCAGGUAUAGUUUCAGUACAGUCACCCGCAAGUAUUCCGGGCCCGGAGCGAGGAGGGUAACACGCCCGAGUGGGAUGAUGAUUUCUCAGAGGUUGGUAGAUUAAGAGACCAAAAUUUGGUAGGAGAUAUCCAUGUUGGCGAGGGUGGUUUUGACUGAAAUGUGCUAUGUCCAAUGAACAAAUGAAUGUACUAUGUAAUAUUAAGAAUUUUGAGUACUGGUCAAUAUCCAUGUAGAACUAGUUCUGUAUGUAAGUGUAGUAUUAUGUAUGAUAGUUAAGAAAUUGUGAACACUUGCUUAUAUGCAUGUGGAGCAAGCUCAACCCUAAAUACGCGCUGGCCCCCCACAUUAAACCAAAGAGUGAUACUUUUUAUUUGGCAUAAGCGGCAAC
ensembl:lincRNA